UUGCAGGUUACCGGACAAAGAAGCAGGGGAAAUACCUGCAGCAUGCGUUGUUGUAAGCUUGAAAGCAAAAGAAAAUGAAGAGGAUAUUAUGAACUUCGUUGCAUCUAACGUUGCCACCUACAAACGAAUUCGGAUACUGCAAUUUGUUGACAUGAUCCCAAAAUCACCUUCGGGAAAGAUAAUGAGAAGGCUUGUGAAGGAAAAUAUGGUGAAAAUUCUGCAGACAAACACAAAAGGUUGAAGAAAUGUUAUCUGAUAAUCUUGAAUUACCUGUGACCGAAAGAUGUGUCAGUUCAAUAAUGCUGGAGAAUAUUACUUUUAUCAAUGAAUGUGUUUUCUAGUUACUUUAAUGCGAAACUGUCAGAAAUUUCACCACAUUUCUUUGUUUCCAGAGGCUCAAACUCAAAACAUUGAUUUGAAAAUUGGAAGAUUCCAAUAUUGAUAUAUAUUGCAGGACAAAGCAUGCACAAUAACAUCAUAGUAAAAUUAGUCACUGAACAAAAAUUAAGUUACAUGAUAACAAUUUUUAAACAAAAGAAACAGCCUGUCUACUACUCAAGAAGAUAAUACACAAGGCACAAUGAGGUGCUGAAUUAAAUAUUUUGAGCCUUUCUUAUUUUAGGCACUAUAAUGAGUUGUUUAAUAAGGUGAUAUAUACAGCACAGUCAUGUCAAAUAAAACUUGUUUAAACUUGAUUUGUAGAGUAAUGAACUACUGAAUACCUUUGAAGCUUGCUUUUAAGUCAGUUUGUGAUAUCAAUGAAUUUGCAUACGUAUAUCAGUCCACUCGGGAAGCUCCAUCUAUUU
rnacentral:lncRNA from 1 species